rnacentral:tRNA from 1 species
GCAUCGGUGGUUCAGUGGUAGAAUUCUCGCCUGCCACGCGGGUGACCCGGGUUCGAUUCCCUGCCGAUGCA